rnacentral:rRNA from 1 species
UACGUAGGGCGCAAACGUUGCUCGGAUUUACUGGGCGUAAAGCGCAUGUAGGCGGGCAAAUAAGUCGGGUGUGAAAUCCCUGGGCUCAACCUAGGAACUGCAUCCGAAACUGUUUACCUUGAGUAGUGGAGAGGAAAGCGGAAUUCCGGGUGUAGAGGUGAAAUUCGUAGAUAUCCGGAGGAACACCAGUGGCGAAGGCGGCUUUCUGGACACUAACUGACGCUGAGAUGCGAAAGCGUGGGGAGCAAACAGG